rnacentral:rRNA from 1 species
CCUACGGGUGGCAGCAGUUGGGAAUCUUGGACAAUGGGGGGAACCCUGACGCAGCGACGCCGCGUGAGUGAAGAAGUAUUUCGGUAUGUAAAGCUCUAUCAGCAGGGAAGAAAAUGACGGUACCUGACUAAGCAGCCCCGGCUAACUACGUGCCAGCAGCCGCGGUAAUACGUCGGGGGAAAGCGUUAUCCGGUUUUACUGGGUGUAAAGGGAGCGUAGACGGUGCAGCAAGUCUGAUGUGAAAGGUCGGGGCCCAACCCCGGGGCGGCAUUGGAAACUGUUGAACUGGAGUACAGGAGAGGUAAGCGGAAUUCCUAGUGUAGCGGUGAAAUGCGUAGAGAUUAGGAGGAACACCAGUGGCGAAGGCGACUUACUGGACUGUAACUGACGUUGAGGCGCGAAAGCGUGGGGAGCAAACAGGAUUAGAUACCCGAGUAGUC